rnacentral:rRNA from 1 species
GAUGAACGCUGGCGGCAUGCUUAAUACAUGCAAGUUGAACGAAGCUUAGGCUAAGUGGCGGACGGGUGAGUAACGCGUAAGAAUCUACCUUUAGGAAAAGAAUAACAACUGGAAACGGUUGCUAAUACUUUAUAAGCUGAGAAGUAAAGGAAUGCCGCCUAAAGAUGAGCUUGCGUCUGAUUAGUUUGUUGGUAGAGUAAAAGCCUACCAAGACAACAAUCAGUAACUGGUCUGAGAGGACGAUCAGUCACACUGGGACUGAGACACGGCCCAG